UACGGGGGAGCAAGCGUUGUUCGGAUUUACUGGGCGUAAAGGCGCGUAGGCGGCCAGCACAAGUCAGUUGUGAAAUCUCCGAGCUUAACUCGGAAAGGUCAACUGAUACUGUGCGGCUAGAGUGCAGAAGGGGCAACUGGAAUUCUUGGUGUAGCGGUGAAAUGCGUAGAUAUCAAGAGGAACACCAGUGGCGAAGGCGGUCUGCUGGGCCGUUGCUGACGCUGAGGCGCGACAGCGUGGGGAGCGAACAGG
rnacentral:rRNA from 1 species